rnacentral:rRNA from 1 species
AUGGUUGAAGAACCAAUCAAAAUCUAUCACACUGCUGAAGCUUAUUACUUGGAUCAUCUUCGAUCCCUUUGUGCUCGUGCUGAAAUCCCAACUAGCUUAGUUGAGGGCAAAUCUUUAGAUGAGCAUGCUUGUUAUGUGCGACACCGUAUAUCUGAAAAGGGAAAUUAUUAUGGAGUCAAAUUCAAUGUUUGCAAUGCUAUGCUUGGAAUUUAUGUGAAUUAUAUGAUUUUACUUGUUGUUCUGAAAACCCUAAGAAACACCUUCCCUACCAAUGUGAGUUUAUUGAUAAUGGAAUCUUAUCUUCUUAUGCUAAAGGUGUUUAUAGUUACUAUGAUAUUCAACAAAUUGAAGAAUUUGUUGCUUUUGAGGGUGCUUAUGAAAUUUCUUCUUUGA